rfam:Musa acuminata subsp. malaccensis Doubled-haploid Pahang (DH-Pahang) genomic chromosome, chr2
AUCGAAGGCAUCAUUGAGUGCAGCGUUGAUGAGAAUCCAGUUUCCCUGAUGAAUAGGAACAUGGGGGCUUUCACCAACGCUGCACCCAAUAAUGCCUUCG